rnacentral:rRNA from 1 species
AGAAUCCUUCGGGAGGAAGACCAUUGUGACUGAGUGGCGGACGGGUGAGUAACGCGUGGGUAACCUGCCUUGUACAGGGGGAUAACAGUUGGAAACGGCUGCUAAUACCGCAUAAGCGCACAGGACCGCAUGGUCUGGUGUGAAAAACUCCGGUGGUAUGAGAUGGACCCGCGUCUGAUUAGGUAGUUGGCAGGGCAACGGCCUACCAAGGCGACGAUCAGUAGCCGACCUGAGAGGGUGACCGGCCACAUUGGGACUGAGACACGGCCCAGACUCC